GAUGAACGCUGGCGGCGUGCCUAAUACAUGCAAGUCGAACGCAUUGUGGUUGAAAUGAUAUGAAGAACUUGUUCAGAUUUGAUUUUCAACAUUGCAAUGAGUGGCGAACGGGUGAGUAACACGUGGGAAACCUACCUCUUAGCAGGGGAUAACAUUUGGAAACAAAUGCUAAUACCGUAUAAUAAUUAAAACCGCAUGGUUUUAGUUUAAAAGAUGGUCUUGCUAUCACUAAGAGAUGGUCCCGCGGUGUAUUAGUUAGUUGGUGAGGUAAUGGCUCACCAAGACAAUGAUACAUAGCCGAGUUGAGAGACUGACCGGCCACAAUGGGACUGAGACACGGCCCAUACUCCUACGGGAGGCAGCAGUAGGGAAUCUUCCACAAUGGACGAAAGUACUGAUGGAGCAACGCCGCGUGUGUGAUGAAGGGUUUCGGCUCGUAAAACACUAGUUGUAAGAGAAGAAUGACAUUGAGAGUAACUGUUCAAUAGUGUGACGGUA
rnacentral:rRNA from 1 species